GCUAAGAAGUUUUUGAGCUGAGAUGAUGGAGUUUUCUAGAUAUAGGAUCAUAUCAUCUGCAAAGAAAGUUUGACUUCCUGUCUUCCUAUUUGAAUAGCUUUUCUUUCUUUCUCUUGCCUGAUUGCCUUGGUGAGAAUUUCUAAUACUGUGUUGAAUAGGAGUGGUGAGAGAGGGCAUCUUUGUCUUGUGUCAGUUUUCAAGGGAAUGCUUCCAGGUUUUCAGGUACUCAGGCAACAAAUAGCGUUACGAAUAGAAUAGUACCUCACAUCUCAAUGC
rnacentral:lncRNA from 10 species